rnacentral:lncRNA from 1 species
AAUAAUAAUAAAUAAAUAAUAUCACUCUCUCCAAUAUGAGGAGGCCACACAAUAAAGCUGUUGGAGGGGUGGAAAUUAAAAAAGAAAAAAUCGGACAACUCAUUACUAAGGGUCUCUUUCACCAUUUAUCUUCAAUAUCUCAAUCCCCACUCAGGAUAAGACAUGCAUUCCCAAAAGACUCCACUGAGGGAAAACAAAUUUUGUCCAGAAUUUCCAUUCUUCCCUUGGGGACCACACACAGGUCUCAUCAUCUCUCCAUGAAAAAAUCUCUUUUGCAGCAAAAAAAUCCAUAUCUUAGAAAAAGAUAAAAAAAAAACGGAAAAGAGGAGGACGUUUCUUCUUCUCCUUCAAAGAACUUCUUCAUCGUCCAUCCACCGGAAACACCUGACACAUCUACCACAUAAACCUCUCACCACCUCCUUCUUCCUUGAUUCAUACAUUCACAAAUCCGCUCUUCUUCCACCACCUCCAAGAUGGCGUGAAUAACCCACAAAAUGAG